CUACGGGUGGCUGCAGUGAGGAAUAUUGCACAAUGGGGGAAACCCUGAUGCAGCAACGCCGCGUGGAGGAUGACGCAUUUCGGUGUGUAAACUCCUUUUAUAUGUCAAGAAAAUGACGGUAGCAUAUGAAUAAGCACCGGCUAACUCCGUGCCAGCAGCCGCGGUAAUACGGAGGGUGCAAGCGUUACUCGGAAUCACUGGCGUAAAGGACGCGUAGGCUGGUUGGUAAGUCAGGUGUGAAAUCCUACGGCUUAACUGUAGAACUGCACUUGAAACUACCAACCUAGAGUAUGGGAGGGGGAGAUGGAAUUAGUGGUGUAGGGGUAAAAUCCGUAGAUAUCACUAGGAAUACCGAAAGCGAAGGCGAUCUCCUGGAACAUAACUGACGCUAAGGCGUGAAAGCGUGGGGAGCAAACAGGAUUAGAUACCCGGGUAGUC
rnacentral:rRNA from 1 species